rnacentral:rRNA from 1 species
AGAGUUUGAUCCUGGCUCAGGAUGAACGCUAGCGACAGGCUUAACACAUGCAAGUCGAGGGGCAGCGGGGGAGUAGCAAUGCUCCCGCCGGCGACCGGCGCACGGGUGAGUAACACGUAUGGAACCUGCCCGCAGCAGGGGGAUAAGCGGAAGAAAUUCCGUCUAAUACCGCGUAACACCGCGGAGGGGCAUCCCUCGGCGGUUAAAGAUUCAUCGGCUGCGGAUGGCCAUGCGGCGCAUUAGCUAGUCGGCGGGGUAACGGCCCACCGAGGCGACGAUGCGUAGGGGUUCUGAGAGGAAGGUCCCCCACACUGGUACUGAGACACGGACCAGACUCCUACGGGAGGCAGCAGUGAGGAAUAUUGGUCAAUGGCCGGGAGGCUGAACCAGCCAAGUCGCGUGAGGGAAGACGGCCCUACGGGUUGUAAACCUCUUUUGUCAGGGAGCAAGGUGCAGGUCGGGACCUGCUGUGAGAGUACCUGAAGAAAAAGCAUCGGCUAACUCCGUGCCAGCAGCCGCGGUAAUACGGAGGAUGCGAGCGUUAUCCGGAUUUAUUGGGUUUAAAGGGUGCGCAGGCGGAGGCACAAGUCAGCGGUAAAAUCGCGGGGCUCAACCCCGCUCCGCCGUUGAAACUGUGUCCCUUGAGUGCGCGAAGGGUAGGCGGAAUGCGUGGUGUAGCGGUGAAAUGCAUAGAUAUCACGCAGAACUCCGAUCGCGAAGGCAGCCUACCGGCGCGCAACUGACGCUCAUGCACGAAAGCGUGGGUAUCGAACAGGAUUAGAUACCCUGGUAGUCCACGCAGUAAACGAUGAAUGCUAUCUGUCCGGCCGGAAUGACGGCUGGGUGGCCCAGCGAAAG